ACGGCAUGUGGGAUCUUCCCGGACCGGGGCACGAAUCCGUGUCCCCUGCAUAGGCAGGCGGACCCUCAACCACUGCGCCACCAGGGAAGCCCCCACUUCCACUCCUAUCAGAAAAGAUAAGCAGAAGCAUUUUGCCCUCACCUGGGAGGAAUAAAGGAUGACCUUUACAGUUCUGUCUCAGAGCCUCGCCAAGUCUCUUGCUCUCUGGCACAUAUAGUUUAGAAGGACUUGACCAUCCUGAUCUCCCACAGAACAUCAUGCUGGCCCUUGACAUUGAUGACAUUUUUCUAGUUGCAUCCGGAAGAUGGAAUUACAAGGCACUCUGACAGAGAUGCAACCUCCAGCCAGCUCCCAUACGAGACCCCAGGGCAAGGCCAUGCCUGUUCCGUGAACAACGAUUCUCUAUUUGAAAAUACAGCCAACUUGCAGCUGGGCCCUGGUAGAGAGGAGAUGUCUGACUUACAGGACACCAAAGCAGCAUGACAGUGUAGGAUGGAAACAGUAUCUAUGAGGUCAAGCCUGAACACGCCCAGAAGGCCCAAGUGUUUCAAGUUAUCUAUGGCUGUGCAAGAAACUGCCCAGAACUUCGUGGUUCAAGACAAGCACUUAUUUAUAUGUCAAUUCUAAUCUCCCAGUUUGUCCCACCCUCCCCUUCCCACCCUGUGUCCACACGUCUGUUCUCUGUGUCUGCGCCUCUAUU